rnacentral:rRNA from 1 species
UACGGAGGGUGCAAGCGUUAUCCGGAUUCACUGGGUUUAAAGGGCGCGUAGGAGGGCAGGUAAGUCAGAGGUGAAAUCCCCGAGCUUAACUUGGGAACUGCCGUUGAUACUAUCUGUCUUGAAUAUUGUGGAGGUGAGCGGAAUAUGUCAUGUAGCGGUGAAAUGCUUAGAUAUGACAUAGAACACCAAUUGCGAAGGCAGCUCGCUACACAUAUAUUGACUCUGAGGCACGAAAGCGUGGGGAUCAAACAGG